rnacentral:rRNA from 1 species
UACGAAGGGGGCUAGCGUUGCUCGGAAUCACUGGGCGUAAAGGGUGCGUAGGCGGGUUUUUAAGUCAGAGGUGAAAUCCUGGAGCUCAACUCCAGAACUGCCUUUGAUACUGAAAGUCUUGAGUAUGGGAGAGGUGAGUGGAACUGCGAGUGUAGAGAUGAAAUUCGUAGAUAUUCGCAAGAACACCAGUGGCGAAGGCGGCUCACUGGCCCAUAACUGACGCUGAGGCACGAAAGCGUGGGGAGCAAACAGG